GCUGGGUGUGGUGGUGCACGCCUGUAAUCCCAGCUACUUGGGAGGCUGAGGCAGGGGAAUCGUUUGAACCCAGGAGCUGGAGGUUGCAGUGAGCUGAGAUCACGCCACUGUACUCCAGCCUGGGCAACACAGUGAGACUGUUUCUCAA
rnacentral:SRP_RNA from 1 species